AUUGAACGCUGACGGCAGGCUUAACACAUGCAAGUCGAGCGGGGUGAUGGUGCUUGCACUAUCACUUAGCGGCGGACGGGUGGGUAAUGCUUAGGAAUUUGCCAAUUAGUGGGGGACAACCUCUCGAAAGGGAUGCAAAUACCGAAUACGUCCUACGGGAGCAAGCAGGGGAUCACUUGUGACCUUGUGCUAAUAGAUGAGCCUAAGUCGGAUUAGCUAGUUUGUGGGGUAAAGGCCUAGCAAGGCGACGAUCUGUAGCGGGUCUGAGAGGAUGAUCCGCCACACUGGGACUGAGACACGGCCCAGACUCCUACGGGAGGCAGCAGUGGGGAAUAUUGGACAAUGGGGGGAACCCUGAUCCAGCCAUGCCGCGUGUGUGAAGAAGGCCUUAUGGUUGUAAAGCACUUUAAGCGAGGAGGAGGCUUACCUAGUUAAUACCAGGGAUAAGUGGACGUUACUCGCAGAAUAAGCACCGGCUAACUCUGUGCCAGCCGCCGCGGUAA
rnacentral:rRNA from 1 species